rnacentral:rRNA from 1 species
AUUGAAUGCUGGCGGCAGGCCUAACACAUGCAAGUCGAACGGUAACAGGAAGCAGCUUGCUGCUUCGCUGACGAGUGGCGGACGGGUGAGUAAUGUCUGGGAAGCUGCCUGAUGGAGGGGGAUAACUACUGGAAACGGUAGCUAAUACCGCAUAAUGUCGCAAGACCAAAGAGGGGGACCUUCGGGCCUCUUGCCAUCGGAUGUGCCCAGAUGGGAUUAGCUUGUUGGUGGGGUAACGGCUCACCAAGGCGACGAUCCCUAGCUGGUCUGAGAGGAUGACCAGCCACACUGGAACUGAGACACGGUCCAGACUCCUACGGGAGGCAGCAGUGGGGAAUAUUGCACAAUGGGCGCAAGCCUGAUGCAGCCAUGCCGCGUGUAUGAAGAAGGCCUUCGGGUUGUAAAGUACUUUCAGCGGGGAGGAAGGGAGUAAAGUUAAUACCUUUGCUCAUUGACGUUACCCGCAGAAGAAGCACCGGCUAACUCCGU